UGAGGAAUCUUGCGCAAUGGGCGAAAGCCUGACGCAGCCAUGCCGCGUGCAUGAUGAAGGUCUUAGGAUUGUAAAAUACUUUCACCGGUGAAGAUAAUGACUGUAGCCGGAGAAGAAGCCCCGGCUAACUUCGUGCCAGCAGCCGCGGUAAUACGAAGGGGGCUAGCGUUGCUCGGAAUUACUGGGCGUAAAGGGAGCGUAGGCGGACAUUUAAGUCAGGGGUGAAAUCCCGGAGCUCAACUCCGGAACUGCCCUUGAUACUGGGUGUCUUGAGUGUGAGAGAGGUAUGUGGAACUCCGAGUGUAGAGGUGAAAUUCGUAGAUAUUCGGAAGAACACCAGUGGCGAAGGCGACAUACUGGCUCAUUACUGACGCUGAGGCUCGAAAGCGUGGGGAGCAAACAGGAUUAGAUACCCUGGUAGUCCACGCCGUAAACGAUGAUUGCUAGUUGUCGGGGGGUUUACCUCUCGGUGACGCAGCUAACGCAUUAAGCAAUCCGCCUGGGGAGUACGGUCGCAAGAUUA
rnacentral:rRNA from 1 species